rnacentral:rRNA from 1 species
AUUGAACGCUGGCGGCGUGCUUAACACAUGCAAGUCGAUCGGUAACGCGGGGGCAACCCUGGCGACGAGAGGCGGACGGGUGAGGAACGCUUGGGAAUCUGCCUAUCAGCGGGGGACAACACGGGGAAACUCGUGCUAAUACCGCAUACGCUCUACGGAGGAAAGCCGGGGACCGCAAGGCCUGGCACUGAUAGAUGAGCCCAAGCCGGAUUAGCUAGUUGGCGGGGUAACGGCCCACCAAGGCGACGAUCCGUAGCUGGUCUGAGAGGACUAUCAGCCACACUGAGACUGAGAAACGGCCCAGGCUCAUACGGGAGUCAGCAGUGGGGAAUAUUGGACAAUGGGGGAAACCUUGAUCCAGCGACGCCGCGUGGGUGAAGAAGGCCUGCGGGUUGUAAAGCCCUUUCGGUAGGGACGAAAGCUCUCGACCUAACACGUCGGGAGGUUGACUUAACCUACAAAAGAAGCACCGGCUAACUCUGUGCCAGCAGCCGCCGUAAAAC